CUUGUCGACCGCGAAUUCUGAACUCGAAACCCGAGGAGUAUGGAGUGACGGAGGCGACUGAAAUGCACAGCGCCGGCGCGUGCUAAUCCUCAACCUCCUCUACUCCCUUGUACUACCUAACAUAUAACUCCUCAAGAUGGAGAUAAGUACAGCUAGGUGUUGUUUGGACUCCCAGCCACAGGCAAUAUUGUUUUCAAGAAUAUCAAGAACAUCGGGGUGGGAAAGCACUCAUAGAAUUUCUUAUAAUAUGACUGCCCUGAGUUUAAGGUUGGGCUAUCGAGGCUUGGCCUCUUCCUACCCAAUCUCAAUCUUAAAUGCAGUAUAUCCAAAUAGGCCAUGUUUCCAUAGAGCACAUUCUAUGGCAACUAGUUUGGAUGAGUCUACAUGGCUACAGUCUGAAGGUGAUUCUGAUGAAGAUGAGGAUGCAUCUGAAGACUCGACGGAGAAGAUUUUGGAACAACCACUGACAAGUGAACAGAUAGCAGCACUACUUGCUGAUACUGAGAGAGCGAGGCUUACAAAGAAGCUUAGUGAAGCCAACCAACAUAAUCGGUUCCUCAAAAGACAGUUGCAAAUAAAGGAGGAAUCAUUGGUUAACUUUAAAAGUGAACUUGCUGUUAUGGAGCUUGAAGUUCAGGCUUUGGUCAAACUUGCUGAAGAAAUAGCUCAGUCUGCUAUUCCAGGAGGUUCAAGGAAGAUCAAGGGAAAAUAUAUUCAAUCUCACCUUGUUUCUCGUUUAGAAGCUAUGCAUGAGAAAUUGAAGGAACAGAUAAAGGAUGUAGAUUCAGUUCAAUCCAAAGAGGUUCCUGUAUUUUGGGUUGGCAUGGCUGAGAGCGUGCAAGUAAUGGGCAGCUUUGAUGGUUGGAGCCAAGGAGAGUACCUAUCACCAGAGUAUGAUGGUUCUUAUACAAAGUUCUCAUCAACAUUGAUGCUCAGACCAGGUAUGAGAUCAAAUUCUUGGUGGAUGGUGAAUGGCAGCUUUCACCGGAGUUUCCCACUAUUGGUGAGGAUUAACCAAAAACAAUCUGUUAGUUGUGGAAUGAUUUGUAUGCAGUUUGCAGAAGCAUAUGUAGUUUUUUCAAGUGUUUGCCAUAUCUUCCACUUGGACAACGUGUUGGUUCCUUGUGAAUCAAAUUGUUCUGCUAAAUUGGGUUGAGGCCAUAUUUUACUUAGACGAGUCAGUGCAGCUGGGUCCCGUCGGAAGUGCAUUUGCUUGCUCUCUACUCAGAUCAUCAUCAUUGCCGUUCCUAUGGUUGCUCUGGCUCGCCCUUCAUACUCCCAACCUUGUUGGAUUUGAUGAGAGAUCACAGCUGCAGUCGCUACCGCCACCGUUGUUGAGACCCGAUUUCCACCGUGUGUGCAGUGUGUUGCUCGCAUUGAUUUACCGUGCUGUCUUCCCUCUCUUCAUUCACGAGUGGCAUGAUUUCUCUUCCUUUGCCUUCACAAGUCUCUACUUUUAUGAGCGUGCUGGUCACCAUUUGAUCUCUCGCUGCAAAUCGGACUAGCGAUUAUGCUCACCAUUAUUGUUGUUGUCUGAUCUUUCGUCGAUUGAACCAGUGCUCAUGGUGUUUUUGGCAUGAACGGAGAUAGUCUAGAGCAUAGCAAAGCUGACUUGCAUGGAGAAGACAAGAUAAGUAAAGAAGGAAUGUGUUGUCAACGGCGAAGGUGAUGUCUAUGAAAAUGUUGCAGAUGAGGUCGAAGAAGGUGGUGUCGAUGAAAUAUAGCGUUUGGCG